AUUUGUUUGUGUGUGAAAAAUGCAAAGAACUAAUUUGAACCCCAAUUUUGGCCAGUGUUUGUGACUAAGUGGCUACUAAUAAAGACUGGACAUACCCCAUUUGCAAUACCUUGGGUUGUCUACUAUUGCAAAUGGUAUGCCAUCAUGGGGGUAAUUUUCAUUCCUGGGCUACCAUACGGUCUCAAAGGCAACAUAACCAACCUAGC